rnacentral:rRNA from 1 species
CGCUGGCGGCGUGCUCAACACAUGCAAGUCGAACGAACCUUCGGGUUAGUGGCGGACGGGUGAGUAACGCGUGAGAAUCUGCCCUCAGGAGGGGGAUAACAGCUGGAAACGGCUGCUAAUACCCCAUAUGCCGCGAGGUGAAAUGAAUUUCGCCUGAGGAUGAGCUCGCGUCUGAUUAGCUAGUUGGUGUGGGUAAUGGCUCACCAAGGCAUCGAUCAGUAGCUGGUCUGAGAGGAUGAUCAGCCACACUGAGACUGAGACACGGCCCAGACUCCUACGGGAGGCAGCAGUGGGGAAUUUUCCGCAAUGGGCGAAAGCCUGACGGAGCAACGCCGCGUGAGGGAUGAAGGCCUCUGGGCUGUAAACCUCUUUUAUCAAGGAAGAAGAUCUGACGGUACUUGAUGAAUAAGCCACGGCUAAUUCCGUGC